rnacentral:rRNA from 1 species
UACGUAGGGACCAAGCGUUGUCCGGAAUCAUUGGGCGUAAAGCGCGCGUAGGUGGCCAUUUAAGUCCGCUGUGAAAGUCAAAGGCUCAACCUUUGAAAGCCGGUGGAUACUGGAUGGCUAGAGUACGGAAGAGGCGAGUGGAAUUCCUGGUGUAGCGGUGGAAUGCGCAGAUAUCAGGAGGAACACCAAUAGCGAAGGCAGCUCGCUGGGACGUUACUGACACUGAGGCGCGAAAGCGUGGGGAGCAAACAGG